rnacentral:misc_RNA from 1 species
AACCUAGCACACCUGCGGUGUGUACCUGCGGAAGGAUCAUUACCUAGAGUUGUAGGCUUUGCCUGCUAUCUCUUACCCAUGUCUUUUGAGUACCUUACGUUUCCUCGGUGGGCUCGCCCACCGAUUGGACAAAUUUAAACCCUUUGCAGUUGAAAUCAGCGUCUGAAAAAACUUAAUAGUUACAACUUUCAGCAAUGGAUCU